UGUUGACAAAAAGAUCGCAGUCUGUCCAUGGCAGCAACAACAUCUCAAGCUCCAUCGCACUGAGCACUGGUGCCCCCCAGGAUUGUAUGCUCAGCCCGCUGCUGUUCACACUACUAACUCACAACUUCACUGCAAGAUCCAGCUCACUGGUACCACAGUGGUCAGUCACAUCAGCAACAAAGAUGAGUCAGCAUACAGAGAGGAGGUAAAGAGACUUUUCAAGUGGUACAAGAACAGCAACCUGAGUUUCAACAUGGACAAGACAAAAGAGAUGAUUGUGGGCUUCAGGAAGGCACAGCUCAACUAGUCUCCAUUGCACAUCAAUGGCUCUGCCAUGGAGAGAGUGAAGAGCACAAAGUUCCCUGGUCUGCACUUAACGAAAUAUCUAAUCUGAUCUCACAACACCUCCUCACUGGUGAAGAAGGCACAGCAGCUUCAACACUUUAUGAGGAGAUUGAGUAAUGCAAGGCUUUCUGCCCUACCCCCCAUUCUAACAACUUUCUACAGGAACACCACUGAGAGUGUCCUUACUCAACGCACCAUUGUGCGGAUUGGAAGCUGCAGGGCCCUACAGAGGACAGUAAAAACCCGAACAGCAAGGCCCUACAGAGGACAGUAAAAACCCGAACAGCAAGGCUCUACAGAGGACAGUAAAAACCCGAACAGCAAGGCCCUACAGAGGACAGUAAAAACCCGAACAGCAAGGCCCUACAGAGGACAGUAAAAACCCGAACAGCAAGGCCCUACAGAGGACAGUAAAAACCCGAACAGCAAGGCCCUACAGAGGACAGUAAGAACCCGAACAGCAAGGCCCUACAGAGGACAGUAAGAACCCGAACAGCAAGGCCCUACAGAGGACAGUAAGAACCCGAACAGCAAGGCCCUACAGAGGACAGUAAAAACCCGAACAGCAAGGCCCUACAGAGGACAGUAAAAACCCGAACAGCAAGGCCCUACAGAGGACAGUAAAAACCCGAACAGCAAGGCCCUACAGAGGACAGUAAAAUUCCGAACAGCAAAGCCCUACAGAGGACAGUAAAAACCCGAACAGCAAGGCCCUACAGAGGACAGUAAAAACCCGAACAGCAAGGCCCUACAGAGGACAAUAAGAACCCGAACAGCAAGGCCCUACAGAGGACAGUAAGAACCCGAACAGCAAGGCCCUACAGAGGACAGUAAAAACCAUCGAGAGGAUCACUAAGAUUUCCCUCUCCUCUAUUCGUGACAUUUACUAUGAGUGUUGCAGGCAAAGGGUCCAAAGCAUUGUUGAGAAUCCCUACACCCAUCCCACAAUCUCUUUAACCCACUGCUAUCAGGAAGGAGGUUGAGAAGCAUUAAGACUGGGACUGCCAUACAUCUUCCCUCAGUCUGUGAGGCUUGUGAAUGCCCUCCCAUCACUGAGGGUCUCGCCACUAGGAGGAGGAGCUGUUUAUUGUUUACCUGCGCAGUGCACUACAUGCAUUUUGAAUUAUAUUUCAUUAGCUUAUUUAUGAACCUCUGGGUCACAAUAUCACCCAGUCCAACAGGUCGAAACCCUGCAUCAGGACUGAGACUGCAGAGACAAGAUGGCUGGUAUAAAGAGGAGAAGAGGAGUGGCAAGAAUGGCUUCUAAUAUAACUGGUGGACUGAGGAGGCAGGCAGAGGAGGAGAUGGAAACAGAGUCUACAGAAGUGAAGUAAAACAGCAGCAAGGUCAUGCACCCUGUACAGAUUACAGCAAAGGAGCUGUGUGCUGCUUUGAGGCAAUUCAGAGCGGACAGAUUCCCAGAGCCUGACAACAUUUUCCUUGGACCC